UGGGGAAUUUUGGGCAAUGGGGGGAACCCUGACCCAGCGACGCCGCGUGAGUGAAGAAAUUCCUCGGAAUGUAAAGCUCUGUUGUAUGGGAAGAUAAUGACGGUACCAUACGAGGAAGCCCCGGCAAACUACGUGCCAGCAGCCGCGGUAAUACGUAGGGGGCAAGCGUUGUCCGGAAUUACUGGGCGUAAAGCGCACGCAGGCGGAAUUGUAAGUCCGUUGUAAAAUUCAGAGGCUCAACCUCUGUCUGUCGGCGGAUACUGCAAAUCUAGAGUAUGUGAGAGGGAAGUGGAAUUCCUGGUGUAGCGGUGAAAUGCGUAGGUAUCAGGAGGAACUCCGGUGGCGAAGGCGACUUCCUGGCACAAGACUGACGCUCAUGUGCGAAAGCUAGGGUAGCGAA
rnacentral:rRNA from 1 species